rnacentral:rRNA from 1 species
CCUACGGGAGGCAGCAGUGAGGAAUAUUGGUCAAUGGGCGGAAGCCUGAACCAGCCAAGUCGCGUGAGGGAAUAAGGCCCUACGGGUCGUAAACCUCUUUUGCCGGGGAGCAAGGGCCGGGACGUGUCCCGUCCCGGAGAGUACCCGGAGAAAAAGCAUCGGCUAACUCCGUGCCAGCAGCCGCGGUAAUACGGAGGAUGCGAGCGUUAUCCGGCUUUAUUGGGUUUAAAGGGUGCGUAGGCGGGCUUUUAAGUCAGCGGUAAAAAUUCGGGGCUCAACCCCGUCCGGCCGUUGAAACUGGGGGCCUUGAGUGGGCGAGAAGAAGGCGGAAUGCGUGGUGUAGCGGUGAAAUGCAUAGAUAUCACGCAGAACCCCGAUUGCGAAGGCAGCCUUCCGGGGCACUACUGACGCUGAGGCACGAAAGUGCGGGGAUCGAACAGGAUUAGAUACCCUAGUAGUC